CUCAGAAAGGACUGUGUGACCCUAGUCUUUCUCUGGCUUCCUGUUCAAAGUGUGAUCUCUUCCUUCCAUAUGUGCUUCUGACAUCUGCCAUGAGGUCCUCACUAUACCAAGCCAAAGUGUUGUGACACCCUUGAAUGUCCAGAAGGCAUUAUUCACAGAAGCCAAGAUACGGAAGCAACCGAGGCAUCUGUCAACAAAUGAAUGGUGAAAGAAAAUGUGGUAUACACACAAUGGAAUAUUAUUCAGUCAUAAAGACAUGGAAAUCCUGCCAUUUGGAACAAGCUGGAUAAACCUGGAGGACACUAUGCCAGAUAAAUGUUAACUAAGAAAUGAGAUCUAAUGCUAUGUUCAAAGAAGGCAGUCUUCGGUCUUCUGGUUCUCCUGUUCCAGCCCUGCAAAAGGACUCAGCAGAAUACAAGGUUCCUGGACUACAUUAAGUUGUGCUUUCACUGGCUGAAGGUUUACAUUGUGACUUCUCCUGCAUUUUUUUUUAAUUCUGAGGAAAUAUUGUCCUGCACAAGGAUCCUCAAGCCUUAGAGAAAACUAG
ensembl:lncRNA